UCCGGUUUGACACCGGCAGUCUCCUAUGAGUCCCCAGCCGAACUGCUGGCAACAUAGGAUAGGGGUUGCGCUCGUUGCGGGACUUAGCCCAACACCUCACGGCACGAGCUGACGACAACCAUGCACCACCUGUAUAGGGCCCCGAAGGACACUACAUCUCUGCAGCUUUUCCCUAUAUUUCAAGCCCUGGUAAGGUUCUUCGCGUUGCGUCGAAUUAAGCCACAUGCUCCGCCGCUUGUGCGGGCCCCCGUCAAUUCCUUUGAGUUUUAGCCUUGCGGCCGUACUCCCCAGGCGGGGCACUUAAUGCGUUAGCGCCGGCACGGAGGACGUGGAAUGUCCCCCACACCUAGCGCCCAACGUUUACGGCGUGGACUAC
rnacentral:misc_RNA from 1 species